rnacentral:rRNA from 1 species
AUGCCUCGGCCGCUCCUGGCAGUCGCCGUCGCCGCCCUCGUGCUCGCGCUCGCCGGUGCUCAUGGCUUCCGGAUCGAGGAGGCGAGCGUGGACAGCAUCCAGCUCGGCUUCAACAACGGGAGCCUCACCUCGGUGGACCUCGUCCGGUUCUACCUGGACCGGAUCAGCCGCCUCAACCGGCUGCUGCACGCCGUCAUCGAGGUCAACCCGGACGCGCUCCCGCAGGCGGCCCGCGCCGACGCGGAGCGCUGCUCCGGCCGCCACCGUCGAGCCAUCGGCGCGCUGCACGGCGUGCCCGUCCUGCUCAAGGACAACAUCGCCACGCGCGACGCGCUCAACACCACGGCUGGGUCAUUCGCGCUUCUCGGCUCCGUGGUGAGGCGGGACGCCGGCGUGGUGCGCAGGCUGCGGCGCGCCGGCGCCGUGGUGCUGGGCAAGCCGGCAAGGCAAACAUGGACGAGUGGGCCAACUUCCGCAGCUUCUCCGGUGGCGGCUGGAGCGCCCGCGGCGGCCGGGGCAGGCAUGGCGGCGGUGACGCUGGGGACGGAGACGGACGGCUCGAUACUCUGCCCGGCGUCGCUGAACUCGGUGGUGGGGAUCAAGCCCACGGUGGGGUUGACCAGCCGGGCUGGGGUUAUUCCCAUCACACCACGCCAAGAUACCGUCGGGCCGAUUUGCCACACGGUGGCUGAUGCAGUCCACGUGCUGGACGCCAUCGUCGGCUAUGAUGCCCGGGACGCUACUCCAACGAUGGAAGCUUCCAAGUACAUCCCUCAUGGUGGAUACAUGCAGUUCUUGAAAAAAGGUGGCCUUGGUGGGAAGAGGAUCGGUGUUCCUAGUGGCUUCUUCAACUUCCCAAAUGGGACUGUGCAACAGAUGGCCUACGCGCAACACCUCAACACAAUGAGGAAACAAGGAGCAGUUGUGAUUGAGAACCUUGACAUAGAGAAUUUAAGUGUCCUAUUGGAUUCCCAAAACAAUGGCCAACAGAUCGCAUUACCAGCAGAGUUCAAGUUAAGCCUCAACUCCUAUCUGUCAAACUUAUUAUAUUCCCCAGUUCGGUCGCUUGCAGAGAUCAUAGCUUUCAACAAUGCACAUCCUGUUGAGGAAAACAUGAAGGAAAAUGGUCAAACCGUAUUCCUGGUGGCUGAGAACACAACGGGCAUCGGUGCCUCGGAGCGAGAGGCGAUCAGUCAGUUAAACAAGCUGUCCGCCAAUGGGUUGAAGAAGUUGAUGAGGGAGCACGAGUUAGACGCCAUCGUGACACCUAAUAAUGCAGUAUCGUCAGUGCUCGCCAUUGAUGGCAUGCCGGCCAUCACCGUGCCGGCUGGGUACGGCAAGCUGGGGGUGCCGUUUGGUCUCUGCUUUGGCGGGUUGAGAGGGUACGAGCCGAGGCUGAUCGAGAUGGCGUAUGCCUUCGAGCAGGUUACCAUGGUCAGAAAGACGCCCACGUUCUUGCCAUAG